AUACGUAGGUGGCAAGCGUUAUCCGGAUUUACUGGGUGUAAAGGGCGCGUAGGCGGGGAUGCAAGUCAGAUGUGAAAUCUAUGGGCUUAACCCAUAAACUGCAUUUGAAACUGUAUCUCUUGAGUGUCGGAGAGGUAGACGGAAUUCCUAGUGUAGCGGUGAAAUGCGUAGAUAUUAGGAGGAACACCAGUGGCGAAGGCGGUCUACUGGACGAUAACUGACGCUGAGGCGCGAAAGCGUGGGGAGC
rnacentral:rRNA from 1 species